AAUCCAUAGGUUAAUGAGGCGAACCGGGGGAACUGAAACAUCUAAGUACCCCGAGGAAAAGAAAUCAACCGAGAUUCCCCCAGUAGCGGCGAGCGAACGGGGAGGAGCCCAGAGCCUGAAUCAGCAUGUGUGUUAGUGGAAGCGUCUGGAAAGGCGCGCGAUACAGGGUGACAGCCCCGUACACAAAAGCGCAUGUGCUGUGAGCUCGAUGAGUAGGGCGGGACACGUGGUAUCCUGUCUGAAUAUGGGGGGACCAUCCUCCAAGGCUAAAUACUCCUGACUGACCGAUAGUGAACCAGUACCGUGAGGGAAAGGCGAAAAGAACCCCGGCGAGGGGAGUGAAAAAGAACCUGAAACCGUGUACGUACAAGCAGUGGGAGCACAGGUUUACCUGUGUGACUGCGUACCUUUUGUAUAAUGGGUCAGCGACUUAUAUUCUGUAGCAAGGUUAACCGAAUAGGGGAGCCGGAGGGAAACCGAGUCUUAAUUGGGCGUUAAGUUGCAGGGUAUAGACCCGAAACCCGGUGAUCUAGCCAUGGGCAGGUUGAAGGUUGGGUAACACUAACUGGAGGACCGAACCGACUAAUGUUGAAAAAUUAGCGGAUGACCUGUGGCUGGGGGUGAAAGGCCAAUCAAACCGGGAGAUAGCUGGUUCUCCCCGAAAGCUAUUUAGGUAGCGCCUCGUGAAUUCAUCUCCGGGGGUAGAGCACUGUUUCGGCUAGGGGGCCAUCCCGGCUUACCAACCCGAUGCAAACUGCGAAUACCGGAGAAUGUUAUCACGGGAGACACACGGCGGGUGCUAACGUCCGUCGUGAAGAGGGAAACAACCCAGACCGCCAGCUAAGGUCCCAAAGUCAUGGUUAAGUGGGAAACGAUGUGGGAAGGCCCAGACAGCCAGGAUGUUGGCUUAGAAGCAGCCAUCAUUUAAAGAAAGCGUAAUAGCUCACUGGUCGAGUCGGCCUGCGCGGAAGAUGUAACGGGGCUAAACCAUGCACCGAAGCUGCGGCAGCGACGCUUAUGCGUUGUUGGGUAGGGGAGCGUUCUGUAAGCCUGUGAAGGUGGCCUGUGAGGGUUGCUGGAGGUAUCAGAAGUGCGAAUGCUGACAUAAGUAACGAUAAAGCGGGUGAAAAGCCCGCUCGCCGGAAGACCAAGGGUUCCUGUCCAACGUUAAUCGGGGCAGGGUGAGUCGACCCCUAAGGCGAGGCCGAAAGGCGUAGUCGAUGGGAAACGGGUUAAUAUUCCCGUACUUGGUGUUACUGCGAAGGGGGGACGGAGAAGGCUAUGUUGGCCGGGCGACGGUUGUCCCGGUUUAAGCGUGUAGGUGUGUGUUCCAGGUAAAUCCGGUUCACUUUAACACUGAGGCGUGAUGACGAGGCACUACGGUGCUGAAGUAACAAAUGCCCUGCUUCCAGGAAAAGCCUCUAAGCAUCAGGUAACAUCAAAUCGUACCCCAAACCGACACAGGUGGUCAGGUAGAGAAUACCAAGGCGCUUGAGAGAACUCGGGUGAAGGAACUAGGCAAAAUGGUGCCGUAACUUCGGGAGAAGGCACGCUGACACGUAGGUGAAGUGAUUUACUCACGGAGCUGAAGUCAGUCGAAGAUACCAGCUGGCUGCAACUGUUUAUUAAAAACACAGCACUGUGCAAACACGAAAGUGGACGUAUACGGUGUGACGCCUGCCCGGUGCCGGAAGGUUAAUUGAUGGGGUCAGCGCAAGCGAAGCUCCUGAUCGAAGCCCCGGUAAACGGCGGCCGUAACUAUAACGGUCCUAAGGUAGCGAAAUUCCUUGUCGGGUAAGUUCCGACCUGCACGAAUGGCGUAAUGAUGGCCAGGCUGUCUCCACCCGAGACUCAGUGAAAUUGAACUCGCUGUGAAGAUGCAGUGUACCCGCGGCAAGACGGAAAGACCCCGUGAACCUUUACUAUAGCUUGACACUGAACAUUGAGCCUUGAUGUGUAG
rnacentral:rRNA from 1 species